rnacentral:rRNA from 1 species
CUACGGGAGGCAGCAGUGGGGAAUAUUGGACAAUGGGCGCAAGCCUGAUCAGCCAUACCGCGUGGGUGAAGAAGGCCUUCGGGUUGUAAAGCCCUUUUGUUGGGUAAGAAAUCCAGCCGGCUAAUACCUGGUUGGGAUGACGGUACCCAAAGAAUAAGCACCGGCUAACUUCGUGCCAGCAGCCGCGGUAAUACGAAGGGUGCAAGCGUUACUCGGAAUUACUGGGCGUAAAGCGUGCGUAGGUGGUUAUUUAAGUCCGUUGUGAAAGCCCUGGGCUCAACCUGGGAACUGCAGUGGAUACUGGAUGACUAGAAUGUGGUAGAGGGUAGCGGAAUUCCUGGUGUAGCAGUGAAAUGCGUAGAGAUCAGGAGGAACAUCCAUGGCGAAGGCAGCUACCUGGACCAACAUUGACACUGAGGCACGAAAGCGUGGGGAGCAAACAGGAUUAGAUACCCUGGUAGUCCACGCCCUAAACGAUGCGAACUGGAUGUUGGGUGCAAUUUGGCACGCAGUAUCGAAGCUAACGCGUUAAGUUCGCCGCCUGGGGAGUACGGUCGCAAGACUGAAACUCAAAGGAAUUGACGGA